CAAAUGGGAGCCCGAGAACCGACGGGAUUUCUCUGCGGUUUGCGCUGCCUGCAUCUGAAUAAAUUCAGCUCUCAGGCAUCCGGCAGGAAACGGCU
rnacentral:lncRNA from 1 species